AACGAACGCUGGCGGCAGGCUUAACACAUGCAAGUCGAACGCAUGCCUUCGGGCAUGAGUGGCAGACGGGUGCGUAACGCGGGGGAACCUACCCCUUGGUACGGGAUAGCUCCGGGAAACUGGAGAUAAUACCGUAUGUGUCCUGAGGGACAAAGAUUCAUCGCCAAGGGAUGGGCCCGCGUCGGAUUAGCUAGUUGGUGGGGUAACGGCCUACCAAGGCGACGAUCCGUAGCUGGUCUAAGAGGAUGAUCAGCCACAUUGGGACUGAGACACGGCCCAAACUCCUACGGGAGGCAGCAGUGGGUAAUAUUGGACAAUGGGCGCAAGCCUGAUCCAGCCAUGCCGCGUGAGUGAUGAAGGCCCUAGGGUUGUAAAGCUCUUUCACCGGUGACGAUAAUGACGGUAACCGGAGAAGAAGCCCCGGCUAACUUCGUG
rnacentral:rRNA from 1 species